UACCUUUGUCCCUGCACAGGUUCCCCAUGCCGCCGUCCAUGCGCGGGAGGGGAUUAAAAGGGAAUGCCGUGAGAAUCGGCAACAGUUCCCGCUGCUGUAAGUUCCCGGGGAGCAAUACCGCCUCCGCAACGAGUUCCGGCAAUCUUUUGCCACUGGCCCCCAAGGCCGGGAAGGCGCCGGAACAGGAACGAGUCAGAAGACCUGCCCGUGCCUUUUACGGAUU
rnacentral:ncRNA from 2 species